rnacentral:rRNA from 1 species
UACGUAGGGGGCAAGCGUUAUCCGGAAUUACUGGGUGUAAAGGGAGCGUAGACGGCGGUGUAAGUCUGGAGUGAAAGGCGGGGGCCCAACCCCCGGACUGCUCUGGAAACUAUACGGCUGGAGUGCAGGAGAGGUGAGCGGAAUUCCUAGUGUAGCGGUGAAAUGCGUAGAUAUUAGGAGGAACACCAGUGGCGAAGGCGGCUCACUGGACUGUAACUGACGUUGAGGCUCGAAAGCGUGGGGAGCAAACA